rnacentral:rRNA from 1 species
UACGUAGGGGGCAAGCGUUGUCCGGAUUUAUUGGGCGUAAAGAGCGUGUAGGCGGCUUUACAGGUCCGUUGUGAAAACUCGAGGCUCAACCUCGAGACGCCGGUGGAAACCGUAAGGCUAGAGUCCGGAAGAGGAGAGUGGAAUUCCUGGUGUAGCGGUGAAAUGCGCAGAUAUCGGGAAGAACACCCGUGGCGAAGGCGGCACUCUGGGACGGUACUGACGCUGAGACGCGAAAGCGUGGGGAGCGAACAGG